AAUUGAUUAACUUCACGUUUGGUUGAGGGGAAUGGAAUAGCUAUUCCCUCUUUAUUCUUGGAUGAAUAGUGGGGUUGUAGUUUGGUUUACUGUUCUCUUCAUUCAGCCGAAUUACUAGUCCUUUCCCAUUCUUCUGAUUUACCGAAUCAUCAUUCAGUGAAGGGGGCUAAAAAUAGCCCAUUCAACAACAUAUGUAAUAGCAAAAUUUUGUCCCAGGCAAUUUUACCCUGUAUAUGUUCACUCGUCGAUUCUGUCGUAACAGUGGUGUCUCCCCAGAUUUCGUGGUUGAGAAUCAUCGAUUUAUCUCCAACUCGUUCACCCAAUUCCCAUCUCUCUUCUGGUUGGACUUUUUGCUCUGUGCUAGAACGCUCCUUCCUGGUCUGCCUCAAAUCUACCACACCGCUAAGGUUUUUAGUUUGCCGUGAAAAUACAUCUUCAAUGUUCAAGAUCCAGGGACACACAUGGUAAUGGAGGCUUUUGAAUCGUUGGGUUAGUGUGGUGAGAAUGAUGAAGCGAAACAAAUGGUGGUGGUGAUUUUAGGGUAAUGAUCAAGUAAUAAUGGUGCGGUGAAGAUCAGAGGAAGUGGUAGAGCUUGGGAGCAGGCUAUGGUAUAAGUAAAUCCUGAAGUUCCGAAGUGUGAUCCAGCAUCCAACCAGUGAUCCUCGACUCAACAAUGUUUGUAGUCUCAUUUUGUUAAAUAUAUGACAUGUACCUAAGUUGAAUCGGUUUUUACAUAAUGUGUGAUCAUGUUCGUUUUUAA